GGGCCCAUAGCUCAGUUGGUUAGAGUGUCGGUAUGGCAUACCGAAGGUCGUGGGUUCGAGCCCCACUGGGUCCA
rnacentral:tRNA from 1 species